ensembl:snRNA U6 U6 spliceosomal RNA
GGGCUUGUUUUGGCAGCACAUAUACUAAAAUCAGAACAAUAAAGAGAUUAGUAUGGCCCCUGGGCAAAGAUGACAGGCGAAUUCAUGAAGUGUUCCAUAUUUUU